rnacentral:rRNA from 1 species
GUACGGCGAGUGAGCGGCAACAGCUCAAAUUUGAAAUCUGGCCUCUCGGGGUCCGAGUUGUAAUUUGUAGAGGAUGUUUCGGGUACCGCCUCGGUUUAAAUUUCUUGGAACAGAAUGUCAAAGAGGGUGAGAAUCCCGUCUUGGACCGGUGGUAGGGCCUAUGUGAAACUCCUUCGACGAGUCGAGUUGUUUGGGAAUGCAGCUCAAAAUGGGUGGUAAAUUUCAUCUAAAGCUAAAUAUUGGCCAGAGACCGAUAGCGCACAAGUAGAGUGAUCGAAAGAUGAAAAGCACUUUGAAAAGAGAGUUAAACAGUAUGUGAAAUUGUUGAAAGGGAAGCGCUUGCAACCAGACUUGAGCGCGGCGGUUCCCCCUUGCUUCUGCUUGGGUUACUCCGCCGUGUCCAGGCCAACAUCGGUUCUGGGGGUCGGUCAAAGGCUCUGGGAAUGUAUCUACCUACGGGUAGACUUAUAGACCAGGGUGUCAUGCGGCCUCCCGGGACCGAGGAACGCGCUUCGGCUCGGAUGUUGGCGUAAUGGUUUUCAGCGACCCG